rnacentral:rRNA from 1 species
AGUUAAGUGAAGAAGGGCGCACGGUGGAUGCCUUGGCACUAGGAGCCGAAGAAGGACGGGACAAACACCGAUAUGUCUCGGGGGGGAGCUGUACGUAAGCAUUGAUCCGAGAAUUUCCGAAUGGGGGGGAACCCUCUACUCGUCAUGGAGUAGAACUUUCAUCUGAAUCCAUAGGAUGAAAGAGGCAGACCCGGGGGGGAACUGAAACAUCUUAUUACCCGGAGGAAGAGAAAGCAAAUGCGAUUUCCUGAGUAGCGGCGAGCGAAACGGAAUCAGCCCAAACCAAAAAGCUUGCUUUUUGGGGGGGUUGUAGGACACUCUAUACGGAGUUACAAAGCUAUUUGUUAGAAGAAGCGGUCUGGAAAGGCCCGCCAUAGAAGGUAACAGCCCUGUAUUCGAAAAGAAGUAGCCUCCAGAGUGGAUCCUGAGUACGGCGGAACACGAGAAAUUCCGUCGGAAUCCGGGAGGACCAUCUCCCAAGGCUAAAUACUCCCUAGUGACCGAUAGUGAACCAGUACCGUGAGGGAAAGGUGAAAAGCACCCCCCCGGAAGGGAGUGAAAGAGAUCCUGAAACCGUGUGCCUACAAGUAGUCGGAGCGCAUUUUUGCGUGACGGCGUACCUUUUGUAGAAUGGACCGGCGAGUUACGAUCCCCCCCUGCAAGGUUAAGUGGAAGACACGGAGCCGCAGCGAAAGCGAGUCUGAAUAGGGCGAAUAUAGUAGGUGGUCGUAGACCCGAAACCGUGUGAUCUACCCAUGUCCAGGGUGAAGGUCAGGUAACACUGACUGGAGGCCCGAACCACGCACGUUGAAAAGUGCGGGGGGGAUGAGGUGUGGGUAGGGGUGAAAUGCCAAUCGAACACGGAGAUAGCUGGUUCUCUCCGAAAUAGCUUUAGGGCUAGCCUCAAGGGAUGUAUGUUGGAGGUAGAGCACUGAUUGGACAAGGGGGGGCCUUACCGGGUUACCGAAUUCAGUCAAACUCCGAAUGCCAAUCAUAUUACCUUGGGAGUCAGACUAUGGGUGAUAAGGUUCAUAGUCGAAAGGGAAACAGCCCAGACCGUCAGCUAAGGUCCCAAAGUAUACGUUAAGUGGAAAAGGAUGUGGCGUUGCUUAGACAACCAGGAUGUUGGCUCAGAAGCAGCCAUCAUUUAAAGAGUGCGUAAUAGCUCACUGGUCGAGUGACGCUGCGCCGAAAAUGUACCGGGGCUAAACGUAUCACCGAAGCUACGGAUUGUUCUUACGAACAAUGGUAGGAGAGCGUUCUAAGUGCUGUGAAGUCAGACCGUGAGGACUGGUGGAGCGCUUAGAAGUGAGAAUGCCGGUAUGAGUAGCGAAAAAGAAGUGAGAAUCUUCUUCACCGAAUGCCUAAGGUUUCCUGAGGAAGGCUCGUCCGCUCAGGGUUAGUCGGGGGGCCUAAGCCGAGGCCGAAAGGCGUAGGCGAUGGACAACAGGUUGAUAUUCCUGUACCACCCAAUUCCGUUUGAACGAUGGGGGGGACGCAGAAGGAUAAGGAAUGCGCACGACUGGAAGUGUGCGUCGAAGCAGUAAGAGCGUCAGAUAGGCAAAUCCGUCUGGCAAGCUUGAGCUGUGAUCGGGAGGGAAAUUUAGUACCGAAGUUCCGGAUUUCACGCUGCCAAGAAAAGCCUCUAGUGAGGAAACGGGUGCCCGUACCGCAAACCGACACAGGUAGGCGAGGAGAGAAUCCUAAGGUGAUCGGGAGAACUCUCGUUAAGGAACUCGGCAAAAUGACCCCCGUAACUUCGGGAGAAGGGGGGGUGCUCACUCUGUGAGUGAGCCGCAGUGAAAAGGCCCAAGCGACUGUUUAGCAAAAACACAGGUCUCUGCGAAGCCGCAAGGCGAAGUAUAGGGGGGGCUGACACCUGCCCGGUGCUGGAAGGUUAAGGGGGGAUGCGUUAGCUUUCGGGCGAAGCGUUGAACCGAAGCCCCCAGUAAACGGCGGCCGUAACUAUAACGGUCCUAAGGUAGCGAAAUUCCUUGUCGGGUAAGUUCCGACCCGCACGAAAGGUGCAACGACUUGGGCACUGUCUCAACGAGAGACCCGGUGAAAUUAUACGAUGCGUGAAGAUGCGCAUUACCCGCGACAGGACGGAAAGACCCCCGUGGAGCUUUACUGUAGCCUGAUAUUGAAUGUUGGUACAGCUUGUACAGGAUAGGUGGGAGCCUGAGAAGCGUGAGCGCUAGCUUACGUGGAGGCGCCGGUGGGAUACCACCCUAGCUGUACCCGCCUUCUAACCCAGGACCGUGAUCCGGUUCGGAGACAGUGUCAGGUGGGCAGUUUGACUGGGGGGGCGGUCGCCUCCUAAAAUGUAACGGAGGCGCCCAAAGGUUCCCUCAGAAUGGUUGGAAAUCAUUCGAAGAGUGUAAAGGCAGAAGGGAGCUUGACUGCGAGACCUACAAGUCGAGCAGGGACGAAAGUCGGGCUUAGUGAUCCGGCGGUACCGUAUGGAAGGGCCGUCGCUCAACGGAUAAAAGCUACCCCCCCGGGGAUAACAGGCUUAUCUCCCCCCCCAAGAGUCCACAUCGACGGGGGAGGUUUGGCACCUCGAUGUCGGCUCAUCGCAUCCUGGGGGCUGUAGUCGGUCCCAAGGGUUGGGCUGUUCGCCCAUUAAAGCGGUACGCGAGCUGGGUUCAGAACGUCGUGAGACAGUUCGGUCCCUAUCCGUCGUGGGCAUUGGAAGUUUGAGAGGAGCUGUCCUCAGUACGAGAGGACCGGGAUGGACACACCGCUGGUGCACCAGUUGUUCCGCCAGGAGCAUCGCUGGGUAGCUACGUGUGGAAGGGAUAAGUGCUGAAAGCAUCUAAGCAUGAAGCCCCCCCUCAAGAUGAGACUUCCCAUCUAUUUCAUAGAGUAAGAUCCCUCAGAGACGAUGAGGUAGAUAGGUUCGAGGUGGAAGCAUGGUGACAUGUGCAGCUGACGAAUACUAAUCGAUCGAGGACUUAACUAU